AUUGAACGCUGGCGGCAUGCCUUACACAUGCAAGUCGAACGGCAGCACGGGAGCAAUCCUGGUGGCGAGUGGCGAACGGGUGAGUAAUAUAUCGGAACGUGCCCAGUCGUGGGGGAUAACGUAGCGAAAGCUACGCUAAUACCGCAUACGAUCUAUGGAUGAAAGCGGGGGAUCGCAAGACCUCGCGCGAUUGGAGCGGCCGAUAUCAGAUUAGGUAGUUGGUGAGGUAAAGGCUCACCAAGCCGACGAUCUGUAGCUGGUCUGAGAGGACGACCAGCCACACUGGGACUGAGACACGGUCCAGACUCCUACGGGAGGCAGCAGUGGGAAAUAUUGGACAAUGGGCGAAAGCCUGAUCCAGCCAUGCCGCGUGUGUGAAGAAGGUCUUCGGAUUGUAAAGCACUUUAAGUUGGGAGGAAGGGUAGUAACCUAAUACGUUGCUACUUUGACGUUACCGACAGAAUAAGCACCGGCUAACUUCGUGCC
rnacentral:rRNA from 1 species